AAGUCGUAACAAGGUAACCGUAGGUGAACCUGCGGUUGGAUCAUUAAAAAGAUCUUAGCCUGCACCCUUCUUGUGGACUGCUUGCGGGCCACAACCAGGGACGAGGCUAAAUUCCCCGAAAUGGGAAUAACAUCAUGUGAACUGUUCUGUCUCUGGCGGUGGGAUGGCUUUAAACACCAUCUGUCAGCAUCCGAGGUCUUCCUCGGUGUGCCGUGGACAAGCCGCCAACGGUGUAUGUUUCAUACAAACUUUUUGUUUCAUUAAAACUGUCUGACCUACUUUUGUAUCUAAAAUAUACAAAAACAACUUUUGGCAACGGAUCUCUUGGCUCCC
rnacentral:misc_RNA from 1 species